rnacentral:rRNA from 1 species
CCCUUAGAUGUCCUGGGCCGCACGCGCGCUACACUGACAUGUUCAACAAGCCUCCUAGUUCGACAGGAUUUGGGAAAUCUUUGAACGCAUGUCGUGAUAGGGAUAGAUCAUUGCAAUUAUUGAUCUUGAACGAGGAAUUCCUAGUAAACGCGAGUCAUCAGCUCGCAUUGAUUACGUCCCUGCCCUUUGUACACACCGCCCGUCGCACCUACCGAUUGAAUGUUUCGGUGAAGAUUCCGGAUAGGACUUUUGUGAUUUAUUUCAAUUUUGUCUUAAAAGCUAUCUAAACCUCAACAUUUAGAGGAAGGUGAAGUCGUAACA